ensembl:lncRNA
AGCUGCCACUGUUUAAAGCAGUCCUACUCUCUUGCAGACACCUUAUUUCCAGAGGAGAGAGGGAUUCACUAAUUUGUUUCAGCAGCUGCUCCCUCUGCUUGCUUCCCUGGCCGCUCCUGAGAAGCCUUUUCCCUUCAGGGGAUGGGCAUCCAACAGAAUGCAGGCACCAACAGCUGAAGUGAUUUACUUGACAGUGAAUAACAGACACCCCCAGACAUUCAGAAGACUGUGAAUCCCGGCUGCUGUAACAUGCCAGUCACAACUGGGCUGUUUUUGAAGAAAGAAACUUUCCUCAAGGAGACACUGCUUUGUGUUAUUUUCUAAUUCACUGUGAUCAUCUUCCAUCGUGCGUAUUCCCUCCCUUCUGUCAUUUACUCCAGCCCUCUCAUCAGUUGUUUUGUUCUAGUCAGAGACUCGGGAGAGUUGUGUUUCAGAUCAGUGACUGGAGCUCGGACAAAUCAUGUUUUCUCUACUUUUUUUUUUCUCCAGCAUUUCAUAUGUUUUGGGUUUGUUUUUUUUUUUCAAUUUAAACUUCCAGUUUCACUGUGUUAGGAGACUGUUGCUGGGGCCCUGGUACUUGAUGGCAUACCACUCAUGCCAUCAAGGUAGCUCUUGCUCCUGAAAGUGGUAACUGCUCACAGUCAGACUUCACAAUGCAACAGAUGCACCAUUUUGGUACCAUUCCUCAUGGGCUUCACUGUCACUUUGUUCUGAGCAUCCCUUUGAAGUCCAGUGCUUUCAACUACCUUUCCAUCAAGUUUUGCAGCUCUGCUAGAACUAAACUUUCUAAUACUCAUAUUCUUUUAAUCCUCCACAGCUACUCCAAUGUUUCAAGGAUCCAACAAUUUUAAAUUUAAUUUUCUUUCUGUCUAGCCUUGUAGACUGGUUCCCCUUAGGAGUCAGUGAAAAGAAUUAAGCCCUUACUCACAUAACCAUCUGGAAGUCUCCCUGUUGACUGCUCUUCAAACAUAAGCCCCCAGAUCUACCUACCCCAGACAAAAGAGUGCAAAUUUCUGCCACAAGACUGUAGGCAAACUCCUUUUUUUUAGAGGCAAAAUCCAACAGCAUUCAGCAUAGCCAUGGUUACUUAGCUACAGGAACAAUUGCUUACAUUGCAGCUCGAGAAGGAGGCUCAGAGUCUUUGAAGUGCUCCUGGGUAAAGAUUUAUCCCAGGAAACUUCUGAGCCCUAUGCCAGUUACAUGCAAAACACACUUAAGCUAACAGCAUGGGAGCACUUGGUGACGUCAGUAUACUUAACACUAGCAUCAUGUUUCUUGUAUCCGUUUCUCUUGAAGAUAGAUUUGCCAUCAAUAUUCACCGUGGGGUCCAAGACUGCCUUACUAUAAACAUUAGCUGUUACAAAGCUUCACAUCCGGGCACUGUGGUUAUGCUAGGUGACAUUGUUUCCUGAAUUAUAUAUAGCACGAUGCAGCACAUGAAUCAAACAGCACAAAAACAUUCCCAUCACCGUACUGUGAUAUAGUGCCACACCUCUAACUGUCCACAAAUGUUUAAAUUUGUCUUUUUUUUUUCCCCCAAAUUUCCUCGGGAGAGAGAUUGUUCACAAACUCCAGCUUUGAUGCUUAUUCCUUAGUGUUAGCAUUGAGUGUCAGCCUGGAUUUAGAGACGUUUGACUAUCCGCACGGGAGGAACAGAGGUUUGUCUGCUAUGAUCAGCAAGACCAAUUGCAAUGAUCUUUGAAAGCAAGGGUUUGAGUUUCAUUUCAGUCUCUAUUAGCUCCAAGUCUGUAACAGUGAGAGACAAACAUAAACUAUACCAGGUUUCUACCAAGAGUCUGAAGCAAAACUGCCCCCCAAAAAAUGGGGUUGCUCAAAACCCGUGCUUAAAUCAAAUUGUUAACAUUUGAGUCCUGGAUAUGAAGGUCCAAAGCCAAAGGUCCCUGUGUCCUGACACUUCCCAACCCUUGAAAAGUCUGGGGGCAAUCAUCUCUCCCAGCACAGUUGCUUUUGGAAAACACAGCUUUAGCCUUUGCUCAGUCCUACAAUUUACAAUCCAGACUGGCCUUUAUCCAUCAAAUGCACUGAAGCACGCUCACGCCCUACAUGUCCUAAAGGGGCUUUUCUGAACUAGGACCAAGUAGUGUCUUAGAAUUCAAGAUGAAUGAGACAGCUAAUCUGUCUUGCAGAUUUUUUUCCCCCUCAUUGCCCUGUGCGCUCCUAAAACUAAUAGAAUAACAGUUGUGCGUGUAUGUAAGCAGCCCUGAAUCAGUGCUGUUCUGCUGGGUUCUUAUGUUACAUUCUUUUGUGCUACAUAGAAUUUCCACUAGGACAUUUUGUCCCCCAGGCUUCAUCAGCCAGUCUAUUGCAUCCACUCCCUGCCCCUCCCCCUCAUCCCUCUUGUUGCAUAAUUUUAGCCAGGAUGUUAAAUUAACUCUCUUCCAGAUGAGUUUGACAUAAUCUUAUUUGCUUUCAUAAUGUCUAUGCCAGUAUGCAAAUACAUUACUCAGCACUAUUGACUCUGCACUUUCACCAAACUAUUAGUCUUUGUUUUUUCUAGCGAUGGUUCACUAGAUACCAGACAGGAACAUUUCUCUGCCAAACUGCAGAAGACUCAUGUCUGGCAGGAGAAAUCUGGUGACAUUAGAAACUAAGCCUGGCUGAUAUUUGUUAAGGCUUAGGGCCAACUGAGGAAAACAUCUUGUUUCCCACCUCCUUCCAGUGGCCUUUCAGUAUCUCACUUUUCUCCCUUUAAAGAUACCAGAUAGUGUAUUCGUCUUGCAAGGCAAAUGUCAACCACCUCCUACUUAUCUCUAGGAUAUAGGCAGCCACAGUGGCAGUUGUAUGGACAGACUUUGCAUUCAGCAGUGGCAAGAUCUCUUCAUUCAAACAGCUUCAAGGCUCCCCAGUUCAACCCCAGCUGUCUCCUGUGUGUUGGGGCAAGACCAGCUCACACAUCACACUCUGUGUUUGUCAUGAGAAAGACAACAAGAUGCAGAAGUCAAAAUAAUAGCCAGAUUUCCAAGAGCCUCACGUCCACAUGAAGGUCUGCCUUGUGAUCAAAGGACAAUGUUACCAUGGCGGUGAAGCCAGCCCUGGCUGUGCUGCCCCAAUGCACAGGCAGCAAUGCACAGUGCAGAUGUCCAUAAGGAGACAAAGCUAGUCCAGACAUGACAGAGCUAACAUCUGGGUGAAACCUGGGUAGGCUGCACCCCUGAAACCAUGGGCUUACGGCUUGUGUGCCAGUCUACCUGAGGAGCUCGGACAGAUACAAACACAUUGCCAUACCCACGCUAAACAGGAAAAGUAAAUAAGCUCUACCUCUAAUGCAAGCUAACAGGAUUUGUAAUUGUCCAGUGUUACGCAUAGUAAAGAAGUAAGAAAAUAGCUGGAGAAACCUGAUCAAAGGAAAUUUUUGUGCCUCGUAUCUGCUGUGAAAUACACUUUGACCUACUACAGACUUUCAGGGUGCAAAACUGCGCCCAGAGAUGCAUUUUAUAUUUGAUCCCAACACAACUAAAUGCACAAAAAGGCACCAGAAGAAUUGAAUACAGCACUUCCAGACUGGAAAACAAAGGCACAGCAAGCAAACACAAGGAAGUGAGAAGUACAGCUUAAAUGUCAGAGAACCAAACUGUACAAGUUGCCUUUUUCUUACUGCUCUGAUGGAUCUGGGGAUGAUCACGGUCCUGCUGGGCUGCCCAUCUUCUAGCAGAGGCUAAUAUAUGCUCAUCAGUUGCUGUCUGCUAGCACAGUCCAAAGCCCUUGCAAGCAAACCGAGACACAAAGCAGUGGGCAGGUGUCCAUAGGCUGCCUACACAGCUCCCCAGGCUCAGGCAGCUCUCUGGCUGUGUGAAAGAAGAGAAGCUCAUGUUGCCCUUAUGUCUUUUGCUAACACCUCAACAGGGAACCACCAACAUAUGAGAAUAGAUGAAAGGCUCUUUGGCACAGUGAGAAGCAGCACUCCAGCUAUCCAGUAAACACUUUGAUUUCAACAGGGUUGUGUCCUAACUAAUAAUAUCCUACACCAGGCUAUUCGUAGCAGAGUUAAAAUAACACAAGACUUUUCACCUGGAAUUACUAUUUCUAAUAUUUUUAAUUGCUAACAAACUUAAAACUAAUAAUUCUUCGAUGCUGACUUGUUGCAUUUCUUCUUCAAAUGACAGAAGUCUUCUUACUUUUUUUUUUUUCCCCUGCAGGCUCAUCUUUUUCUUUGUUUCAAGUAUGAUUGCAUUUAGCAUGGAUGUUUCUGAUACACCACCAUGCCAAGAAGAAGUAUUGUUUUCUUUCAUCCUUAAAACAAUCCAUACUCAUACUAAACAAUUGAAACUUGGC